GGCGGGGGCAGGGCGGCGUGGGGCGGCGCCGGCCUUGCUGCGCCUCCCCCCCGUCGGCGGCCCCGCGGAGCGGCGUUGGUACAGUCCGAGACGGCCCCCGGCUAUAAAUAGCGCCAGGCGCAUGGCUCUUCGGGAGGUGCUGAGAUUCCGGGGCCCGGCGGCCGUGGGCAGCGGGUGCCCGUUAGGAACCGGGCAGUCGGCCUCCUCUCGUUACCCUUUGGGGGUUCUUUUUGUAAUAGAAGCAGAAACGAGACCCCAGCAGUCUGUAAACCCGGGCCAAGCCGGCGUGGUACAACCACAAAGUGCUACUCUCCAGCGCCAGAGGAGGCCCGAGGCCCUGAGGUUCCCAGCCCCGAGGUUCGAGGUUCGAGGUUCACCUCAGAACCCCAAGCUUCCCUCGAAGGAUGGGAGCCUAAAUCAAAAAGCAAAUUUAAAUCUUGCAAUCACUGCUGGGAAGUGAGCUGUAUCAUCCUGAGAAAUCAGACCAUAGAGACAGGCCUGCAGCUGGCAGCCUGGGUCAUCUUUAAUCGCUUAACCCUUCAUAUCAAAGAACGGCUUGUAGCAGCGGAUUCCUUCUCCAGAAUUUCCCAUGGCAGAUUUUCUCAAGGAAAAGCUGUGAGUUAAAAUGAAACAGAGUGUGUACUGCAAAAAGCCUUGCCUUGUAAAUUGACUUGGUGCCUACACACAUGGCUGAUUUUAUGUGUAUCUCCAUGUAACUCUGUCCUUGUGGGUAUGUGUUUCUGCUUGGGU
rnacentral:lncRNA from 1 species